AGAGUUCGAUCCUGGCUCAGGAUGAACACUGGCGGCAUGCUUAACAUAUGCAAGUCAGACGGGAAGUGGUGUUUCCAGUGGCGGAUGGAUGAGUAAUGCAUAAAACCUAUCUUUGGGAGGGGAACAACAACUAGAAAUGGCUGCUAAUACCCUGUAGGUUGAGGAGCAAAAGGAGGAAUCUGUUGAGGAGGGGCUUGCAUAUGAUUAGCUAGUUGGUGGGGCAAUAACUUACCAAGGCGAUGAUCAGUAGCUGGUCCGAGAGGAUGAUCAGCGACACUGGGACUGAGACACAGCCUAGACUUCUACGGGAGGCAGCAGUGGGGAAGUUUAUGCAAGGAGUGAAAGCCUGACAGAGCAAUGCCACGUGGAGGUAGAAAGCCUAUGGGUCGUGAACUUCUUUUCCCAGAAAAGAAACAAUGAUGGUGUCCGGGGAAUAAGCAUCGGCUAACUCUGUGCCAAUAGUCACGGUAAUACAGAGGAUGCAAGCGUUAUCCAUAAUGAUUAGGCGUAAAGCGUCUGCAUGUGCCUUUUUAAGUCUGUCGUCAAAUCUCAGGGCUCAACCCUGGACAGGCGGUAGAGACUACCAAGCUGGAGUAUGGUAGGGGCAGAAGGAAUUUUCGAUGGAGCGAUGAAAUGCAUAGAGAUCGAAAAGAACACCAACGGUGAAAGCACUCUACUGGGUCAACACUGACACCGAGAGAUGAAAGUUAGGGGACCGAAUGGGAUUAGAUACCCCAAUAGUCCUAGCCGUAAAUGAGGGAUACUAGGCACUGUUCGUAUCGACCCGUGUAGUGCUAUAGCUAAUGCAUCGAGUAUCCCACCUGGGGAAUAUGUUCACAAGAAUGAAACUCAAAGGAAUUGACGGGGACCCAUACAAGCGAUGGAGCAUGUAGUUUAAUUUGAUACAAAGCGAAGAACCUUACCAGGGCUUGAUAUACUGCGAAUUCUCUUGAAAUAGAAGAUUACCUUCGGGAAUGCAGACACAGGUGGUGCAUGGUUGGAGUCAGCUCAUGCCAUAAGGUGUUGGGUUAAGUCCCAUAACGAGCAUAACCCUCGUGUUUAGUUGCCAUGGUUGAGUUUGGAACCCUGAGCAGACUGCUGGUGAUAAGUCAGAGGAAGGUGAGGAUGAUGUCAAGUUAUCAUGCCCCUUAUGCCCUGGGUGACACACAUGCUACAAUGGCCGAGACAAAGGGUCCCGUUCCUAUGAGGGUGAGCUAACUCCAAAAACCCAUCCUUAGUUUGGAUUGUAGGCGGCAACUCGCUUACAUGGAGCGAGAAUAGCUAGUAAUCACCGGUUAGCCAUACUGUGGUGAAUUCUUUCUUGGGCCUAGUACACACCGCCCGUCACACUAUGGGAGCUGGCCAUGCCCCAAGUCCUUACCUUAACCGCAAGGAGGGGGAUGCCAAAGGCAUGGCUAGCGACUGGAGUGAAGUCGUAACAAGGUAGCUAUAAUGGAAGGUGCGGUUG
rnacentral:rRNA from 1 species